rnacentral:rRNA from 1 species
UUAACGGAGAGUUUGAUCCUGGCUCAGGACGAACGCUGGCGGCGUGCCUAAUACAUGCAAGUCGAGCGGAGUUUCAAGAAGCUUGCUUUUUGAAACUUAGCGGCGGACGGGUGAGUAACACGUGGGCAACCUGCCCCUUAGACUGGGAUAACUCCGGGAAACCGGAGCUAAUACCGGAUAAUCCCUUUUUCCACCUGGAGAGAGGGUGAAAGAUGGCUUCGGCUAUCACUAGGGGAUGGGCCCGCGGCGCAUUAGCUAGUUGGUAAGGUAACGGCUUACCAAGGCAACGAUGCGUAGCCGACCUGAGAGGGUGAUCGGCCACACUGGGA